rnacentral:rRNA from 1 species
AAAGGAAGUUUUCGGAUGGAAUUUGAUUGACUGAGUGGCGGACGGGUGAGUAACGCGUGGAUAACCUGCCUCACACUGGGGGAUAACAGUUAGAAAUGACUGCUAAUACCGCAUAAGCGCACAGUACCGCAUGGUACGGUGUGAAAAACUCCGGUGGUGUGAGAUGGAUCCGCGUCUGAUUAGCCAGUUGGCGGGGUAACGGCCCACCAAAGCGACGAUCAGUAGCCGACCUGAGAGGGUGACCGGCCACAUUGGGACUGAGACACGGCCCAAACUCCUACGGGAGGCAGCAGUGGGGAAUAUUGCACAAUGGGCGAAAGCCUGAUGCAGCGACGCCGCGUGAGUGAAGAAGUAUUUCGGUAUGUAAAGCUCUAUCAGCAGGGAAGAAAAUGACGGUACCUGACUAAGAAGCCCCGGCUAACUACGUGCCAGCAGCCGCGGUAAUACGUAGGGGGCAAGCGUUAUCCGGAUUUACUGGGUGUAAAGGGAGCGUAGACGGCGAAGCAAGUCUGAAGUGAAAACCCAGGGCUCAACCCUGGGACUGCUUUGGAAACUGUUUUGCUAGAGUGUCGGAGAGGUAAGUGGAAUUCCUAGUGUAGCGGUGAAAUGCGUAGAUAUUAGGAGGAACACCAGUGGCGAAGGCGGCUUACUGGA